rnacentral:rRNA from 1 species
UACGUAGGGUGCGAGCGUUAAUCGGAAUUACUGGGCGUAAAGCGUGCGCAGGCGGCGCGUUAAGACAGGUGUGAAAGCCCCGAGCUUAACUUGGGAAUUGCGCUUGUGACUGGCGUGCUGGAGUGUGGCAGAGGGAGGUGGAAUUCCACGUGUAGCAGUGAAAUGCGUAGAGAUGAUGGAGGAACACCGAUGGCGAAGGCGGCCAUCUGGACCGCAACUGACGCUGAGGCGCGAAAGCGUGGGGAGCAAACAGG